rnacentral:ncRNA from 1 species
GUCCCACGUCGCAACUGGCGCUCAGAUGGUCACCAUCGGGGAGCGACACGCAACCUCCUUGAACACGGGUGGAUUCGGCCGCGCGCCUGGGUCGAUACG